CCCAAUCUGUUUAGAACCAAAAAAAACCCUAAAUCUAAUCGUCUCCCUCACAUCACUCUCUCAGUCGCCUCUCUCUCUCUCUCUCUCUCUCUCUCUCUCACCCUCUCGUUUAUCUCUGCACCGAUCUCGUUCAUCUCUGCACCGAUCACUCUGUCACUCUCUCGUUGUUCAUCUCAUCGAUUCGCACCGAUCAUCGCACCGCCGAUCUACUCACAGGUCGUUUGGAUGGCAGGAAUGAAGUGGCGGAAUGAGAAUUUUAUUUUAAAUCUCAUUCAUUACAUUGUGACAUCUGAGGACAAGAAUGUAAUCCCCAAUUUGAGCAACAAAAAAUUUGUGUUUAUUUUUCAAGAAAAAUGAUUCAAGGAGGUGGAAACACUGGGAAUGCGUUAAUAUGUGCAGCUCGUCUGGGUUUAAAACCAAGGCUGAUUUCGAAGGUCUGUCAAUCAACCUGCAACUAUGGUAAAAAUGCAUGAGUUCAAGCCCCAGCAACUAUGGUACAAUGGAUGAGUUCAAGCCCCAGCGAAAAUGUGCUCGGAGAACGGGGCGGGGCCGACGAGAGAUGAGUUGGAUAUUGAGUUUUUGGGGAACAGAACAGGGCAGCCGUACCUCAUUCAAACCAACGUUUCCAAGAAUGGAACUGGAAACCGAGAGAUGAGGCACCAGCUUUGGUUUGAUCCCACUGAGGACUUUCACUCCUAUUCUAUCCUCUGGAAUUCUCACCAGAUUCUGUGAGUCUCUCUAUUAAUUCAUUGAUUUGUUACUACUAUUUUUUUAACUUCAAAUUGUCAAAGACUUGCACCAUAUAAUUUAUUUCUCUCUAGUCCACAUUCCGGGUAUAACAGUUCAGCCCAACACAUUAUGCCACCUACGUUAUAUUUUUUUGUAAAUCAAAGUUUUAGGUUUUGUUGACUUAUUAACCCAUCAAAUAUUGGGUUGAAAAUUUUUUGUUGGAUCUAAAAUUGGGUUUGGAAAUAGGUAGAUAAAAUUUGAACUAUUACCUUUUAAAAAAUAUUGACGUGGCGAGCAUGAGGUGCUCAAACUAGACAUCCAAUUCGGGUAGAUUACCUUUCUUAUUGGCAUUCACGAGACAAUAAUACUACAAACUUACAAAAAAUGUGUAGAAAAAUAUGCAAAAUUUGAAUUAUAUUAAUCCUGGGUGUAGCCUAUUUAAUAAUAUAAUACUAAGGUUUAAAUAUAUACUACACAUUUAAAUUUUGAGCAAUGUCGUAACAUUCCAAGGUGGAUGUUUGACCCCUAGACUAAUAAGGUUGAUAAAUACCUAAACAGAAUCUAACUCAAUUCAUAAAUGAAUUACACCUCCAUAACAGUAGCUUAAUCUGAGAUCAAGUUUAACCAAGCAUCAAUCUAUGGUCAAUAAAUUGCUAGUAAGAAAU